rnacentral:lncRNA from 1 species
UUGAAUUUUUUUUAUACUUAAUUGAUACUUGAACUUGUAUUCCGUCACUUAGGUCGGUACCUCUGUACUAAUACAAUUAAUUUAUGCUGAUAUGAUACUUAUAAAUAAUCAAUUGCUGACACGUUGUAAUAGGCCCAUUUUGCCUGGGCCCAUAAAAAAAUUAACUAAACCAGAACCAAAAGUAGAAAAAUAAUAAUAAUAAUAAUAAAUAAAGCAAUGAGCCAAAUAAAUUAAAAAGUCCAAGUCCUUUUACAAAAAUAAAGGCCUAAAACACUAACCCAAAGUCCAAUUUAUUGGCCCAAACUAAAAAAAACCUAUUAACUUAAACCCAAAACAACCCAAAUAAAAUAGCACUCCACUAAGCCCAAUCCCAGAAUUGGUCCAAAUGGCCCGUGCAGGGGAAGCCUCUGGAAACACCAGGUCACCAGAUUGCUCCUCUCACGAACGGCCUCCCCACGAGUGAUUUCUUCUCCGUACGCCUCCACGUCAACAGAAACUACGAGAAGGAAAAACAAACACAGCAAAAGGAAUACACGAGAAGCAGCAAAAUAUAAUGGAAAAAUAGCAAAAAGAAAAAAUAGAUUUUUAAAUUUUUAUUUUUCCGGCUAUAAAAGCCACCGAGUGUACCUGCAAAUAUUUACGCAUACUGAAAUACACCAAAAGGCCACCAAAAUUCAAAGGUGAUUUUCGAUUUAAAUAUCUGGAUACUCUAUUUUUUUUCCUGGUUUUCGUUCUUUUGGGUUUAUCAUUUUUAUAUUUGAAAGCAAAUAAAAAGAAAGGAAAGAGGUUCUUACCUGGCAAAUACGCCAUAGAUUUCCUUUUUACUUUGUUAAAAUCGAAGCCAAGAGGAGAUUUCAAGGCUGAAAAGUCAUUCCCCAGGCUUGAACGUGUAGCUUGUUGUUUGGGGGGAUGAGAAUCGGCCAAAUGAGGGGAAAAUAUGGGGCAUUAGGGUUUUGAUUCAAUUGUUAGAGGAAAUGGAAAAAGCCCUUUCAAUUUCUUUUAAUUUUAGAACAAAAUAAAACGGCGUCGUUUAAGGGAAGUAGAUCCGCAUGCCGACCCGCUCCAAAACCUAGAUACGCGCAUUUGCACUUCAAAU